UGGGGAAUUUUGGACAAUGGGCGAAAGCCUGAUCCAGCAAUGCCGCGUGUGUGAAGAAGGCCUUCGGGUUGUAAAGCACUUUUGUCCGGAAAGAAAUCCUUGGCUCUAAUACAGUCGGGGGAUGACGGUACCGGAAGAAUAAGCACCGGCUAACUACGUGCCAGCAGCCGCGGUAAUACGUAGGGUGCAAGCGUUAAUCGGAAUUACUGGGCGUAAAGCGUGCGCAGGCGGUUUGCUAAGACCGAUGUGAAACCCCCGGGCUCAACCUGGGAACUGCAUUGGUGACUGGCAGGCUAGAGUAUGGCAGAGGGGGGUAGAAUUCCACGUGUAGCAGUGAAAUGCGUAGAGAUGUGGAGGAAUACCGAUGGCGAAGGCAGCCCCCUGGGCCAAUACUGACGCUCAUGCACGAAAGCGUGGGGAGCAAACAGGAUUAGAUACCCUGGGUAGUCCACGCCCUAAACGAUGUCAACUAGUUGUUGGGGAUUCAUUUCCUUAGUAACGUAGCUAACGCGUGAAGUUGACCGCCUGGGGGAGUACGGUCGCAAGAUUAAAACUC
rnacentral:rRNA from 1 species